AACAUGACUAGUUCUGGCACCAAGGUCUUAGAUUGCUGAGUCCCCGUGGCUCACGGAUUCCUCCGAAACUCCCAGCAGGUACAGGUACCCCAGAGGCAGAUGAUCCCGAUGGCACCCAGCUGGCGUGGCAGUACGACGAGGAGACAGACCGCCUUUACGUGAACUAUCUAGAGGACUGAGCCGUGGUCGUGAUCGUGGGCCUGCAGC
rnacentral:lncRNA from 1 species